GUCCUCUAUACUGAACUGUAUAAUGACCUAUCAGGUCCUCUAUACUGAACUGUAAUGACCUAUCAGGUCCUCAUUACUGCUCUGUAUAAUGACCUAUCAGGUCCUCAUUACUGAACUGUAAUGACCUAUCAGGUCCUCUAUACUGAACUGUAAUGACCUAUCAGGUCCUCUAUACUGAACUGUAUAAUGACCUAUCAGGUCCUCUAUACUGAACUGUAUAAAGACCUAUCAGGUCCUCAUUACUGCUCUGUAUAAUGACCUAUCAGGUCCUCUAUACUGAACUGUAUAAUGACCUAUCAGGUCCUCUAUACUGAACUGUAAUGACCUAUCAGGUCCUCAUUACUGCUCUGUAUAAUGACCUAUCAGGUCCUCAUUACUGAACUGUAAUGACCUAUCAGGUCCUCUAUACUGAACUGUAAUGACCUAUCAGGUCCUCAUUACUGAACUGUAAUGACCUAUCAGGUCCCAUGUGAUGUGUAUUAGGAGACAUAAUUGAUGGCAUAAAAUAGUGUUUCCCCAAAUAUGUUUUUCUGCAGCGGUGGUAAAGUUAGUGUAGUGGGUGUGGCCAAUGGCACGGCCUCCGANNNNNNNNNNNNNNNNNNNNNNNGUGUUUGUGUCUUUGUUUGUGUGUUUGUGUUUGUGUGUGUGGGGGGGUUUGCGUGUGUGUGUGUGUGUGUUUACCAUCGCGACCACAGGGUUAUCCUCUUCCCUGAUUUAACUGACUCUGGUUAGAGGUUAUCCUCCUCCCUGAUUUAACUGGUUAGAGGUUAUCCUCCUCCCUGAUUUAACUGGUUAGAGGUUAUCUUCCCCCUGAUUUAACUGGUUAGAGGUUAUCCUCCUCCCUGAUUUAACUGAUUCAGUAUAUAGUGGGGUUGUUCUAUCAGGUCUACAGUAUAUAGUGGGGGUUGUUUUAUCAGGUCUACAGUAUAUAGUGGGGGUUGUUCUAUCAGGUCUACAGUAUAUAGUGGGGUUGUUCUAUCAGGUCUACAGUAUAUACAUGGGGGUUGUUUUAUCAGGUCUACAGUAUAUACAUGGGGUUGUUUUAUCAGGUCUACAGUAUAUAGUGGGGGUUGUUUUAUCAGGUCUACAGUAUAUAGUGGGGGUUGUUUUAUCAGGUCUACAGUAUAUAGUGGGGGUUGUUCUAUCAGGUCUACAGUAUAUAGUGGGGUUGUUCUAUCAGGUCUACAGUAUAUACAUGGGGGUUGUUUUAUCAGGUCUACAGUAUAUACAUGGGGUUGUUUUAUCAGGUCUACAGUAUAUAGU
rnacentral:lncRNA from 13 species